UUGGUCUCUUUCGCAAGCGUUCCCGGAAGUCUCGCGAUGUUGCGCCUCUGAGUUUAGAAACUCUGUGGUCAGAAACCUGCCUAUUUUCUUCGAAAGGACGUAACGUCACGAUUCCGAAGCUAUACGAUAUUACAGAGAACACAUCUGGAAAAUAUUUUUAACGUUGUACUUCUUGUUCACGAAAUUCAUGCUAAUGUUCUGUUUUUGAGCUAGCACCAAAUUCACUCCCAUUCACUCCUUGGACGAGAACUCUCUUGUCCUAAAAUCGCCCAGAAUGCACCGCGCGGUCCAUUGACGACUCAUUGGAAACGUACACAAAAGGCGUUCAUACGAUUUCUCCUCAAAAGUAUCUGCCUCUACCUCAAUAUGGGGUAAGCACGUCCCAAGGAUCCCAGAUAGCAAAGACCAAUGGUAAACGUUUUGCAAUGAAAACGAGUUUCUAUUGGACCAAUUCAGGUAGAUCCGUUUCGUUCUGUUUUCUUCCGUUUGGUAGGUAAACGGUUUCCGUUGCAAGACGUAAUGAAUACAUACGGGAAGGGAUACUGAAUACACCCCUGGUGUAACAACAGCAACAUUCCCUCCCGCAUGUAUAAUCUACUCUACAUUAGUUCCAUCGGUCGCAAUUGACUUUGAUUCUACGUGUUGUUAAUGUAUUUUAAACAUUGACUAUGUUCCUUUAUGCCCUCUUCUCUAUUUGGAAUAACGAUGCAAGACGAGACUGAACCAAAGUAAGUUAUUGGAAAUAAUUAAGAAUAGUGAGCACUUUGGUUUGAGAACAGUUUUGCAUGCUAGACAGUGAAUAAGCAUUUAGUAACUUUAUACAUUGUUUUUUAUACAUCCUAGUGGCGAGUUGAUUAAUGCUGUUGAUCAUGAAGUGUGUGUGUGUCCUCUCUGUAGGUCAGUAUCUGGGUGUAGGUGGUGGCCCUCAUGGUGCCCCACCUCUAUGCCCACUCUGAACAGCACAGAAAUACGUACUAUUCCAGUGGAGUAUCAGUGAACAUACUUUUUGUACUACAUUAAGUCUGCCUAACCAUUUACCUUUUCCUCUUCUCUUCCAGUUGCACAUACACACGUCUUGUAAUGGUCCAUUAAUGGUCCAUGGAUUUGGCGUAGGGGUAGGGUUAUGGAUACUCUUUGUGUUUGACUUGCUUGGUUUCGGACAAAGCUCCAGACCCCACUUCCCCAUGGACCCAGCUCUGGCUGAGGAGCAGUCAGUCAGGUCUAUAGAGCACUGGAGGCAGGCCCUGGCCCUAGAUCGCAUUAUCCCAUUGGGUCAUAGUCUAGGCGGUUACUUGGCAACAUCCUAUUCCAUUCAAUACCCCGAGAGGUCAGAGACGACAUUUACAGUUGACACACUCUUUAGUGGCUAAUCCUUGGUGUUAUGAUGAAGAGCAUAACAUGUAUGAACUUAGAGUAACAUGGUUCUUUCCCGGUCAGAGUCAGUCACCUGAUUCUAGUGGACCCCUGGGGCUUCCAGCCCAUGCCUGUGGAUUCAACCUCAGGAUCGGACAGACCAGGCUGCCCUCGCUGGGUUGAGGCCCUAAUUGCCUAAUCUACACUCUUCAACCCACUGGCAGUGAUCCAAGCUGCAGGACCCUGGGGCUCUGCCCCACCUGCCUUGAAUGACGGGUCACCACUGCCUAGGUCUGAGAUUAGUCAACAGAUUCAGACCGGAUUUCAAUGGGAAGUUUGAUGACCUAUUUGAUGAUGACACUAUGACACAAUAUCUUUACCACUGCAAUGCCCAAACUCCCAGGUAGGCUACAGCAAUUAUAAAAUCUGAGUAUAUAAAUUCAGAAUAUGUAGAUUGCUGCAAAUGCAUCACUGCAUUUAUCUAUUUUUCUCUCUGUUGCUCUCCCUCUCUAUCUCUGUUUUUCGGUGGGGAGGUGGGGUUCAAGGCCAUGUCGGAGUCCCUUGGCUGGGCCAAGUGUCCCAUAUUAGACCGGGUCGACCUCCUGCCUCCCUCUCUCCCAGUGACCCUGGUGUGUGGAGGUGGCUCCUGGAUGGACAGGGCUACAGAGGCCAGAGUAGCAGAGCUGAGGCCCAACAGCUACACCUGCACUGUGGUGGUUGAAGGAGCAGCUCAUGAUGUCUAUGCUGAUCAGCCUGAGGGGUUCAACAUACUCGUGCAGAGCAACUGUGACAUUGUAGACCAAGAAAGUCUGUGUGUUUGACUAAUUUAAUGAUGCUGCUUCAUUUUAUUUAUAUUGUACAGCCUACUGUGUGAGUUAUGUGGCUUUUUAGUUUAUCUUUUCAAGAGGUUGUCUUGACAUGUCAUGACUGACAAUAAGACCACCAUUAUAGUAUCUUGACUUUAUCAUGAAGAGGUUGUCUUAUGACUGCCAAUAUUGUGUUGUAAUGAACUACUGAAUAUGAACAAGGCUAAAUAAAUGUAGAGAGAUGUGA